UACAGAGGGUGCAAGCGUUGUUCGGAAUUAUUGGGCGUAAAGCGCGUGUAGGCGGCUUGGCAAGUCGGGUGUGAAAGCCCUCAGCUUAACUGAGGGAAGUGCGCCCGAAACUGCUGAGCUUGAGUACCGGAGAGGAUGGCGGAAUUCCCGAAGUAGAGGUGAAAUUCGUAGAUAUCGGGAGGAACACCGGUGGCGAAGGCGGCCAUCUGGACGGAUACUGAGC
rnacentral:rRNA from 1 species